AUUGAACGCUGGCGGCAUGCCUUACACAUGCAAGUCGAACGGCAGCACGGGAGCUUGCUCCUGGUGGCGAGUGGCGAACGGGUGAGUAAUGCAUCGGAACGUACCCGGAAGUGGGGGAUAACGUAGCGAAAGUUACGCUAAUACCGCAUAUUCUGUGAGCAGGAAAGAGGGGGAUCGCAAGACCUCUCGCUUGCGGAGCGGCCGAUGUCGGAUUAGCUAGUUGGUGGGGUAAAGGCCUACCAAGGCGACGAUCCGUAGCGGGUCUGAGAGGAUGAUCCGCCACACUGGAACUGAGACACGGUCCAGACUCCUACGGGAGGCAGCAGUGGGGAAUUUUGGACAGUGGGCGAAAGCCUGAUCCAGCCAUGCCGCGUGAGUGAAGAAGGCCUUCGGGUUGUAAAGCUCUUUCGGCUGAAAAGAAAUCGCACAGGCUAAUACCUUGUGUGGAUGACGGUAUCAGCAUAAGAAGCACCGGCUAACUACGUGCCAGCAGCCGCCGUAAUAC
rnacentral:rRNA from 1 species